rnacentral:misc_RNA from 1 species
GAUGAAGACGUAGCGAAAUGCGAUAAGUAAUGUGAAUUGCAGAAUUCAGUGAAUCAUCGAAUCUUUGAACGCAUCUUGCGCUCCUUGGUAUUCCGAGGAGCAUGCCUGUUUGAGUGUCAUUUAACUUCUCAACCACAUUGGAUAUUUUUUUUCCGAUGCCGGCUUGGAUGUGGGGGUUGUUUGCAGGCUUUUUGUAACAAAAAAGGUCGGCUCCCCUGAAAUGUAUUAGUGGUAUCUGAGGCUAUUACUAUUAGGUGUGAUAAUUAUCUAUGCCUUUUGGGUAUGCCGCAUGAACAGAUUAUGCUGCUUCUAACGAAAACUAUUUUGAUGAAUUUGACCUCAAAUCAGGUAGGACUACCCGCUGAACUUAAGCAUAUCAAUAAGCGGAGGA